CGAGCGAGAGAGAGCUUGCUUUCUCGAGCGAGUGGCGAACGGGUGAGUAACGCGUGAGGAACCUGCCUCAAAGAGGGGGACAACAGUUGGAAACGACUGCUAAUACCGCAUAAGCCCACGACCCGGCAUCGGGUAGAGGGAAAAGGAGCAAUCCGCUUUGAGAUGGCCUCGCGUCCGAUUAGCUAGUUGGUGAGGUAACGGCCCACCAAGGCGACGAUCGGUAGCCGGACUGAGAGGUUGAACGGCCACAUUGGGACUGAGACACGGCCCAGACUCCUACGGGAGGCAGCAGUGGGGAAUAUUGCACAAUGGGGGAAACCCUGAUGCAGCGACGCCGCGUGGAGGAAGAAGGUCUUCGGAUUGUAAACUCCUGUUGUUGAGGAAGAUAAUGACGGUACUCAACAAGGAAGUGACGGCUAACUACGUGCCAGCGGCCGCGGUAAAACGUAGGUCACAAGCGUUGUCCGGAAUUACUGGGUGUAAAGGGAGCGCAGGCGGGAAGGCAAGUUGGAAGUGAAAUCCAUGGGCUCAACCCAUGAACUGCUUUCAAAACUGUUUUUCUUGAGUAGUGCAGAGGUAGGCGGAAUUCCCGGUGUAGCGGUGGAAUGCGUAGAUAUCGGGAGGAACACCAGUGGCGAAGGCGGCCUACUGGGCACCAACUGACGCUGAGGCUCGAAAGUGUGGGUAGCAAACAGG
rnacentral:rRNA from 1 species